rnacentral:rRNA from 1 species
AUUGAACGCUGGCGGCAGGCUUAACACAUGCAAGUCGAGCGAGCGGCGGACGGGUGAGUAAUGUCUGUGAACCUGCCUGAUGGAGGGGGAUAACUACUGGAAACGGUAGCUAAUACCGCAUACCAUCAGAUGUGCCCAGAUGGGAUUAGCUAGUAGGUGGGGUAAUGGCUCACCUAGGCGGCGAUCCCUAGCGGGUCUGAGAGGGUGACCAGCUACACGCGAAAUGAGACACGGUCCAGACUCCUACGGGAGGCAGCAGGGGGGAAUGUUGCACAAUGGGCGAAAGCCUGAUGCAGCCAGCCCGCGUGUGUGAAGAAGGCCUUCGGGUUGUAAAGCACUUUCAGCGAGGAGGCGGUACUUGCAGAAGAAGCACCGGCUAACUCCGUGCCAGCAGCCGCGGUAAUAC